AACAACCUUCUCCGAAGGGUAGUUGAUUAUUCCUCCUUUGAACCAAGACAAUCUUGACUAGAUGCUAUCUCUUAUAUAACUGCUUAUUCUUUAUAGCACUUAGUUAUCACUACUUUAGUCAAGAAUAUACUAACAACUUAGUAAUUCUUGUAAGUGUUACCCACCAUUUUCAGAUUUCAUAGAUUAGAAUCAUUUAUGAAAACUAAUCUAAGAAAACCUAUCCAGAUUUGGAGUUCACGGUGUUCCGAAUCCUAUAAUACAACCCUCCGAAGGGAACGUCGCUCCAGGGCAGACAAGUAGGCAUAUUAUAGAAAUCUCACGGUGCGAUCUAAUGGAAGAGACCGUGGGAUGUGCUGCCACAAAUCCCUCACCACUUACUAUGAACUACUUCCCCUAUUCACCUUGAUUUUGAUCCAUGCAAACACUCUCUGAAGGGAGGCCGCUCCUAUGCACGGCACAAAGCCCUGCAUGGACCUCACGGUGUGAACUCUUAGGGACACUAGAGCUAAAAUACAUUAUUUUUCUCUAGUUGAAGUGUUCUAAAGAAAAAAAUAGGGUAAUCCAAGCUUCAAGAUUUAUAUUUAGCUAACUUAAACAAAUCUUAAGUCUAGAUAAAACAUCCAAGUAUAACCAUUAUACAGGAUUUUACCUAUGAUGUCUAGGUGAUAAACCAUUUUUAUUACCUCACACCUCUCACGAAUGCUCAUAAAACUAGGUUAACUAGGCUCAAGAACUGAUUACGAUCUCCAGGUAGGAGGUGUUCCGUAAACCGUCAACUUAAGAACCUCCAACCUUAGUCAUCUUAUCUGACUUGUUGACAAGAUUGAACCAGGUGAGCCUUUUGUAACCAGUUUUACAAGAUAUCGACCUAUUUCUAUGAAAAAUGGAAGAUAUGUUUAACUAAGUGAGCAUGCAUUUAAUCUUUGUUAUUGAUUUUAAAAGUCUAAUUUAUUUUUUAUAACACUUAUAAAAUUUUUUAGACUUAAUCAAUCAUUUUAUCAAUAUAUAACCUUAUAAAAACAAUCAAUUAAUAUGGAUUUUAAUUUAUUUAACUUUAAUUAAAUCAUAUUUAAUUAAAUUAAAUCAAACAAUAAUUAAUUAAUUUGAUUAAAUCAUAUUUAAUUAAAUUAAAUCAAACAAUAAUUAAUUAAUUUGAUUAAAUCAUAUUUAAUCAAGAAUAACUUAAUUAAUUAAUCAUAUUAAUUAAUUUCCAUAUUAAUCAAUUAACAUGCAUAUAAUACAAUAUAACCUUUAUAUCAUACAUUUUAAUGCAUGAACAUGUUAACAUAUGGUGGGAUUUUAAAUCUAUAUGACAUUCAAAAUGCACACUACAAAUUUAAAGUAAUUUAAUCAUACAUCACAUGCAUAAUAAAAAAAAACACCCUAAAAUUGACUGAUUUUUGGCUCCUAAAUUAAGCUAACUACUAAAUUAUUACAUAAUUAAAUUGGUAGUACAGAACCACCCCCAAAAACUUUCGAACCGGCUGAAAAAACCAACCGAAACCGCUUGAACCGGCCAAAAACCAAAUUUAUUGGCUUAACCGGCCUAAUUAACUAAACAGGCUAGGCGCACACGGGUCGGCGUAGGGCGCAGGAGGCGUCGCGAAGCGGUCAAGGCAGGUUUUUCGGGUCUGUGACCUUCUUUUCUUCAUUUUUUUCAAUUCUCUCACCCGGUUGAACCAGUUACAGCCUAACCAACUCUAAUGAUUUUUUUUUAUUUUAAAAAAAUUACAAAACACUUUGCAAAAAAUUAAAAAUAAGUCAUUAACAAGGCUAAUUACAAUAAUUAGAACAAAACACUUAAUCUAGAGCCAAAAUCAUAAUAUAUCCAUUUUAGUUCAAACCAAAAUUUAUCUAAUAAAUAUGAAUAUGAACCCACCACAUGCAAUUGGGUAAAUGAAUGAAGCAUGCUCUGAUACCACAUGAUAGAACUAAGUCAUGCACAGCGGAAAAAGAAUCGAAUUUCUACCCUAAUUGCCACAAUUAACAUGUAACCAUAAACUAAUCAAAUUAGGGUUUUAAGAAAUAUUACCUUUGAAGCUUUCAAAAGGUUUGAUAUCUUCUUACCAAUUCUAACCGAGACCACCACUAGUACUCAACUGCUAUCCUCUAGACAAAGAACCGGGUUGUGGGACCCAAUUUUGGUGUAGAAAGAAAUGGAGAUAAAAUGGGAUUGGAAGGUUUUUUUUUCUUUUGUUGAGAUGAUGAAAAUGAUAAAAGAGGCAAAAGUCUUUUCAACAUUUGAAAACACCUCUAUUUAUAACCUAAUUACAUGCAAAAAUGCAUGCAAUUCAUUUGCCAAAUCUCAACACCUAAUGUUCCACUAACAAUUAGUGGAACUUAGUGG
rnacentral:lncRNA from 1 species